rnacentral:rRNA from 1 species
CCCUUAGAUGUUCUGGGCCGCACGCGUGCUACACUGAGUGGAUCAGCGGGUCAGGUUGCGCGAAAGUGUUUCCUAAUCUUGAAAUCCGCUCGUGAUGGGGAUUGACGGUUGCAAUUUUCCGUCAUGAACGAGGAAUACCUUGUAAGCGCGGGUCAUCAUCCCGCGCUGAAUACGUCCCUGCCCUUUGUACACACCGCCCGUCGCUACUACCGAUUGGAUGGCUUAGUGAGACCCUCGGACCGAUAGACUGUUGCUGCAGCAAUGUGGCGACUGGUCCGUCUGGGAAGAAGGUCAAACUUGACUGUCUAGAGGAAGUAAAAGUCGUAACA